AUCGAAUAGGAAUGAUACAUGAUGAUCGUCAUUCUGAAUAGUCCAGUCUCAUCUCCGUGCCAGCAGUCGCGGUAAUACGGAAUCGGGCGACCCAUCGGAGUUAUAAAUAGGUGUACAGGGUACGUAGCUUGUCUAGAAUGACUAGAGUUACAUAGAAGUAGAACCAACACUCGGAGGAGGGCUGAUAUCCUAUGAACCCGAGGGGUGGACUAAUGGCGUAGGCAUUCUACUAUGUGAUAACUGACGGUAAGGUACGAAAGCGAGGGUAGGGAACCGGAUUCGAUACCCGGGCACUCCUCGCUGUAAACGAUGCAGACCACGAGAUCGGUUGAUAAACUAUCGGUAUUCGAUGCUAACGCUAGAGUCUGCCACCUGCAUAGUACAGCCGAAAGGCCGAAACGUCAAUGAUUAGACUGCCUGUGAGCACAUGGAGUGAAGCAUGCCGUUCAAUACGAUAGCCCGCGUAAAAUCUUACCACUUCUUGCAUUUUUCAACUAUUUUGAUUAACAGGUGUUGCAUGGCUGUCGUCAGUUAGUGUUCGUGAGACCUAUGGUUGAUUCCGCAUAACUAACGCAAUCCUUGCCGACUUUUCUUA
rnacentral:rRNA from 2 species